CAAAAACAUAACCAAAUGAUAAUAUAUUUGGCGCUUUCUGCUCAAUGAUAUAAUUAAAUAGCCGCAGUACCUUGACUGUGCAAAGGUAGCAUAAUCAAUUGGCUCAUAAUUGGAGUCUAGAAUGAAUGGAUAUACGGGAAGUUACUGUAUCAAAUGUUUUUAUUGAAGUUGGAUUUCAAGUGCAAAUUCUUGUAGGUAAUUGUUAGACGAGAAGACCCUAGAAAUUUGAAUAUACGUUUGGUUGGGGCAACAUAGUAGGAGUAAACCUACAGUAUGGACUUAAAAAUUAAUUAAAAAGAAUAAAUUACUCUAGGGAUAACAGCAUAAUUUAAAAAAGUUUGUGACCUCGAUGUUGGAUUUGGGAAUUAUAGUUCAGAAGACUUUUAAUAUUGCUCUGUUCGAGCAUAGUAC
rnacentral:rRNA from 1 species